UUUGAAGUGGGUAGGCGUUAAUCAUAGCAGGUAAAUCCGUUAUGAGAGCUGAUACACGAUAGUACACGGAGGUUUAGGCCGAAGUGAUAAUGGCUGGUAGCAUACUUCCGAGAAAAGCUUCUAAGCUCUAGGUAUAUAGAGCCCGUACCGUAAACCGACACAGGUAGUCGAGGAGAGUAUCCUCAGGCGCUCGAGUGAUUCGUGGCUAAGGAACUAGGCAAAAUGGGCCCGUAACUUCGGGAGAAGGGUCACCUGACUAUAGACGUCAGGUCGCAGUGAAGAGGCCCAGGCGACUGUUUAACAAAAACACAGGACUAUGCAAAAUCGAGAGAUGAAGUAUAUGGUCUGACACCUGCCCGGUGCCGGAAGGUUAAGGGAGGGGCUUAGGGGGUAACUCCGAAGGUCUUAACUGAAGCCCCGGUAAACGGCGGCCGUAACGAUAACGGUCCUAAGGUAGCGAAAUUCCUUGUCGGGUAAGUUCCGACCUGCACGAAUGGUGUAACGAUCUGGGCACUGUCUCAGCCACGAGCUCGGUGAAAUUGAAGUAUCGGUGAAGAUACCGAUUACCCGCAAUGGGACGAAAAGACCCCGUGAACCUUUACUAUAGCUUUGCAUUGGGUUUGGAUACACGAUGUGUAGGAUAGGUGGGAGACAUUGAAGCUGGCACGCUAGUGUUGGUGGAGUCGUCGUUGAAAUACCACCCUUUGUGUAUUUAGAUUCUAACCCUGAGAGGGGGACAGUGCAUGGUGGGUAGUUUGACUGGGGUGGUCGCCUCCAAAAGAGUAACGGAGGCUUGCAAAGGUACCCUCAGCAUGGUCGGUAAUCAUGCGCAGAGCAUAUUAGUAGAAGGGUGCUUGACUGUGAGACUGACGGGUCGAGCAGGAACGAAAGUUGGCUAAAGUGAUCCGGUGUUUCCGAAUGGAAGGGACAUCGCUCAAAGGAUAAAAGGUACUCCGGGGAUAACAGGCUGAUCUCCCCCAAGAGCUCAUAUCGACGGGGAGGUUUGGCACCUCGAUGUCGGCUCGUCACAUCCUGGGGCUGGAGAAGGUCCCAAGGGUUGGGCUGUUCGCCCAUUAAAGUGGCACGCGAGCUGGGUUCAGAACGUCGCAAGACAGUUCGGUCUCUAUCUAUUGUGGGCGUAGGAAUAUUGAAGAGGUCUGACACUAGUACGAGAGGACCGUGUUGGACGAACCUCUAGUGUAUCUGUUGUGCCGCCAGGUGCAGUGCAGAGUAGCUAUGUUCGGAACGGAUAAGCGCUGAAAGCAUCUAAGCGCGAAGCCACCUCUGAGAUGAAUAUUCCAUUCUCGAAAGAGAAGAAGGGCUGUGGGAGAUGACCACGUUGAUAGGCUAUAGGUGGAAGCGCAGUAAUGUGUGUAGCCGAGUAGUACUAAUUGUCCGAAAGCUUCCUU
rnacentral:rRNA from 1 species